UACGUAGGGUGCGAGCGUUGUCCGGAUUUAUUGGGCGUAAAGAGCUCGUAGGCGGCUUGUCGCGUCGGAUGUGAAAGCCCGGGGCUUAACUCCGGGUCUGCAUUCGAUACGGGCAGGCUAGAGUGUGGUAGGGGAGAUCGGAAUUCCUGGUGUAGCGGUGAAAUGCGCAGAUAUCAGGAAGAACACCCGUGGCUAAGGCGGCUCUCUAGUACGGUACUGACGCUGAGACGCGAAAGCCGUGGGGAGCGAACAGG
rnacentral:rRNA from 1 species